GUGAAAAUAGCUUAGCUGGUAGAGCGUAGGUUUGUGGGGCCUGAAGACAAGAGUUCGAUUCUCUUUUUUCACC
rnacentral:tRNA from 1 species